rnacentral:rRNA from 1 species
CACGUAGGGUGCGAGCGUUGUCCGGAAUUAUUGGGCGUAAAGAGCUCGUAGGCGGUGUGUCGCGUCGGCCGUGAAAACCUGCAGCUUAACUGUGGGCUUGCGGUCGAUACGGGCAUCACUGGAGUUCGGCAGGGGAGACUGGAAUUCCUGGUGUAGCGGUGAAAUGCGCAGAUAUCAGGAGGAACACCGGUGGCGAAGGCGGGUCUCUGGGCAUGUCCUGACGCUGAGGAGCGAAAGUGUGGGGAGCGAACAGG